rnacentral:rRNA from 1 species
UUACGUACACAACUAAGGAAGGGAGAGAACUUCUAUUGAAAGGUUCCAGAGUAGGCGCUACAACGCCGAAAUGACCUUCUCACCCUUGUUACUCACUAUGUUGCUUUGGCGGGUCGACCUGGUUCCGACCCAGGCGGCCGGCGCCCCCAGCCUUAACUGGCCAGGACGCCCGGCUAAGUGCCCGCCAGUAUACAAAACUCAAGAAUUCAUUUUGUGAAGUCCUGAUAUAUCAUUUAAUUGAUUAAAACUUUCAACAACGGAUCUCUUGGUUCUGGCAUCGAUGAAGAACGCAGCGAAAUGCGAUAAGUAAUGUGAAUUGCAGAAUUCAGUGAAUCAUCGAAUCUUUGAACGCACAUUGCGCCCUCUGGUAUUCCGGAGGGCAUGCCUGUUCGAGCGUCAUUUCAACCCUCAAGCUCUGCUUGGUAUUGGGCAACGUCGGCUGCCGGACGUGCCUGGAAGACCUCGGCGACGGCCUCCUAGCCUCGAGCGUAGUAGUCAAAUAUCUCGCUUUGGAGUGCUGGGCGACGCCGGCCGGAAAAUCGACCUUCGGUCUAUUUUUCCAGGGUUGACCUCGGAUCAGGUGGGGAUCCCGGCUGAACUUAAGCAUAUUAAUGAGCGGGGGAAANG